GUGAAGCUUUCCCCUGUGAACCUGGAAUCUUCUGAUAUGGGAGGUGCACAGAAUCUCAACUGAAUGACUUAUGGAACACCUGUAUUAUUGCAGGCAGUUGUGUGUACACAUCUGGGACAGAGAAGCCAUGCUUCCUCACGAGCAAAAUCCAGCAGCAGGAGGAACCUUCUUGGCCAGAAAAUGCCUGUGGUGCUUCUACCCACUGUGUGCCCAGCUUUAGGCUUCCCUGCGCAUCUCCAUUCUGAGGCCCUGGAGGCCAGCCAUCCCUUGGCAGAAAUGUAUUUGCAGAGCCAAGAACUCAAAGGAGACUUAUUUUGCAGAGCUUUCUUCUGCUCGAAAAUAUAGCAGCCACUGUCAGCACCACCAUCAGUAAUGCACCUUGCACCUGCUUGUUUUUUUUCUCUGAGAACAAGGAAGCUCUCCUGACACAUGGCAGCACUGUACCACCAUGUCACUGGUCUCCUGCUCUCAGCUUUUGAAUAACUGUAUCUCAGAGCUUGCAGGGGAUGUGCAGAGCACAGAUGGUAGACAAGCUAAAGGCUUUUAGUGAGGUUUUGGUGAUGUUCCUGGGGACAGUCCAGCAGUGGAGGUGAGGUGUCACAAGAUGUGUCAUCCACGUGUUAUGAGGUGUCACACACAGCAGCGAGCAGUGGACAAGGCUGCUGAGUGCUGAGUAAGGAUGAUGAUACCACUGAUCUCACUAUCUCCUAGAGCCAGUGGUGAAAAGCCACAGCACUGUACCCUCAGCUGAAGCUGCUGGGUACAAAACAGCCAAGUGGUCAACCCCAGACUGUGGGUUGGGUGAAGGGUGUAGAGCACAGAAGUUGGGAUGUGUGAUUACUUAAUCAUCCUAGGGUAAUUAGAAAAUGAAACCUAAUGGUUAGCCCUAUUAAAAGUAAUGGAAGCUUGAACUACGUGAGAAAUAAAAAUAUAUUGCUACAGCUUUCUAAAGACAUCUUCACUAAUAGAAGUUCUUUCCCUGCUGUUGAAA